rnacentral:rRNA from 1 species
GGAGUUUGGACCGUGUCUCAGUUCCAAUGUGGGGGACCUUCCUCUCAGAACCCCUACUGAUCGUCGGCUUGGUGGGCCGUUACCUCACCAACCACCUAAUCAGAAGCGUGCUCAUCCAUAAUCCGUAACGUUUCAAGUGACCGUCAUGCGGCGAUCACUCACAUGGAGCUUUAAUUCGGCUUUCGCCGGGCUAUUCCCCGAUUAUGGACAGAUUGCACACCUGUUACGCACCCGUGCGCCGGUCGCCAUCAACAGAUAGUCAACGCU